GGCCCAGUGGUGUAGUGGCAAACAUACCCAUUCUCUAUCAUAUCGUAUCGAGAUUGAGUUUGUGGGAGAUCCCUGUUCGACUCAGGGCUGGGUCA